AUCGAACGCUCGGGGCCCAUUUAAAUUAAAACGGUUUUAACGACUUUCCUGACCUCACCGGUGGCCUCUUCCAAAUGCUCAAAGAGAACAAGCCUGGGUCAGUGACGGUGUUGGAUGCAAGCGAAACAAGUGAGAGUGAUAAGCGACAUGUAGAGAAGACCAAGAGGCUGAACCCAGUCUCAGUUAUGAGGAAAUACAAAAUAUACCAAUCCAAGGAACAAGGAAGGCAUCUAGACUAUGGCAAACAAAUUCUCGAGUACUGCCAAAAACUUAAGUUUUGGAGAAACUGAUUUGGAGACCAAGGUUCUAUUUUAGCCAGCACUAGGCACAACCUAUGAAGCAUCAUGAUGGCACCAGUCUCAAGGUUAUAAAAAACUUCUCAUACCUUGGUUGUGCGCUCUCUGGGGAUGCCACUAUCAAUGAAGAUAUCAAUGCUAGCAUCCAGAAAGCAGGUUCGGCUUACAGCCGACUCCAUGAUAUGUCUGGAAGUAGCAUGAUGCUAAGCUGAAGACUAAAAUCAUACCAUACCUGGCCAUUGUCCUGACCACUUUGCUGUAUGGCGCAGAAUCAUGGAUCUGCCAUUGGCGUUACAUCUAACCUUUGGAAUCAAAGACACCCGAGGUCCAUCAUGAGAGUUUGAUGGCAGGACAAAAUCACAAAUAAUGAGGUCCUUCAUCGUGCUUGGGUUCAGAACAUGCAGACCAUCCUCCAGAAAAUUCAACUUAGAUGGACAGGCCCCAGAUGGAUGGCUAUAGAAUCCUCAAGCAGAUCUUCUAUAGGGAACUGUCUCGGGUCAAAAUGACACCAAGGUGGUCAGUACAAAAGUUGCAAGGACACCCUAAAAAUGAGCCUUACAAACCACUGCAUUGUAGAUCACCUCUUUUGAUAAAACCCUACAGCCAACAAGCCCAUGUGGAGUCAAGCACUGAAAUUCAGUUCAGGCAUGAUUGGGAAAUUUGCAGAUGACACAAAAAUUGGCCGUAGAGUUGAUAGUGAAGAGGAUAGCUGUUGACUCCAGAAUGAUAUCAAUGGUUUGGCUGAGUGGGGGGAAAAGUGGCAAAUG